CCUACGGGGGGCAGCAGUGAGGAAUAUUGGUCAAUGGGCGCGAGCCUGAACCAGCCAAGUAGCGUGAAGGAUGACUGCCCUAUGGGUUGUAAACUUCUUUUAUAAGGGAAUAAAGUGUGGCACGUGUGCCUUUUUGUAUGUACCUUAUGAAUAAGGAUCGGCUAACUCCGUGCCAGCAGCCGCGGUAAUACGGAGGAUCCGAGCGUUAUCCGGAUUUAUUGGGUGUAAAGGGAGCGUAGGUGACACGUCAAGCCUGAUGUGAAAGCUCGCGGCUCAACCGCGGAACUGCAUUGGAAACUGGCAGUCUUGAGUACAGGAGAGGUAGGCGGAAUUCGUAGUGUAGCGGUGAAAUGCGUAGAUAUUAGGAGGAACACCGGUGGCGAAGGCAGUUUACUGGACGGUAACUGACGCUGAGGCUCGAAAGCGUGGGGAGCAAACAGGAUUAGAUACCCGUGUAGUC
rnacentral:rRNA from 1 species